CCUACGGGGGGCUGCAGUGGGGAAUAUUGGGCAAUGGGCGCAAGCCUGACCCAGCAACGCCGCGUGAAGGAAGAAGGCUCUCGGGUUGUAAACUUCUUUUAUCAGGGACGAAGCAAGUGACGGUACCGGCUGAAUAAGCCACGGCUAACUACGUGCCAGCAGCCGCGGUAAUACGUAGGUGGCAAGCGUUAUCCGGAUUUACUGGGUGUAAGGGGCGUGUAGGCGGGAAAGCAAGUCAGAUGUGAAAACCAUGGGCUCAACCUGUGGCCUGCAUUUGAAACUGUUUUUCUUGAGUACUGGAGAGGCAGACGGAAUUCCUAGUGUAGCGGUGAAAUGCGUAGAUAUUAGGAGGAACACCAGUGGCGAAGGCGGUCUGCUGGACAGCAACUGACGCUGAGGCGCGAAAGCGUGGGGAGCAAACAGGAUUAGAUACCCGAGUAGUC
rnacentral:rRNA from 1 species